CCUACGGGGGGCUGCAGUGGGGAAUAUUGGACAAUGGGGGCAACCCUGAUCCAGCCAUGCCGUGUGUGUGAAGAAGGCCCUCGGGUUGUAAAGCACUUUCAGUGAGGAAGAACGCCUGGUGGUUAAUACCCAUCAGGAAAGACAUCACUCACAGAAGAAGCACCGGCUAACUCCGUGCCAGCAGCCGCGGUAAUACGGAGGGUGCGAGCGUUAAUCGGAAUUACUGGGCGUAAAGCGCGCGUAGGUGGCUUGAUAAGCCGGUUGUGAAAGCCCCGGGCUCAACCUGGGAACGGCAUCCGGAACUGUCAAGCUAGAGUGCAGGAGAGGAAGGUAGAAUUCCCGGUGUAGCGGUGAAAUGCGUAGAGAUCGGGAGGAAUACCAGUGGCGAAGGCGGCCUUCUGGACUGACACUGACACUGAGGUGCGAAAGCGUGGGUAGCAAACAGGAUUAGAUACCCCUGUAGUC
rnacentral:rRNA from 1 species